GGAAUAGCUCAGUUGGUAGAGCAUCGGUCUCCAAAACCGAGUGUCGGGAGUUCGAGCCUCUCUUC
rnacentral:tRNA from 1 species